rnacentral:rRNA from 1 species
UACGGAGGGAGCUAGCGUUGUCCGGAUUUACUGGGCGUAAAGAGCGCGCAGGCGGUCGUUCAAGUCGAGUGUGAAGGCCCCCGGCUCAACUGGGGAGGGUCACUCGAUACUGAUCGACUCGAAGGCAGGAGAGGGUAGUGGAAUUCCCGGUGUAGUGGUGAAAUGCGUAGAUAUCGGGAGGAACACCAGUGGCGAAGGCGAAUCCCUGGAAAAUACCUGACACUGAGGCACGAAAGCUAGGGGAGCAAACAGG